rnacentral:rRNA from 1 species
UCCUACGGGAGGCAGCAGUGGGGAAUAUUGCACAAUGGGGGAAACCCUGAUGCAGCGACGCCGCGUGGAGGAAGAAGGUCUUCGGAUUGUAAACUCCUGUUGUUGAGGAAGAUAAUGACGGUACUCAACAAGGAAGUGACGGCUAACUACGUGCCAGCAGCCGCGGUAAAACGUAGGUCACAAGCGUUGUCCGGAAUUACUGGGUGUAAAGGGAGCGCAGGCGGGAGAACAAGUUGGAAGUGAAAUCCAUGGGCUCAACCCAUGAACUGCUUCCAAAACUGUUUUUCUUGAGUAGUGCAGAGGUAGGCGGAAUUCCCGGUGUAGCGGUGGAAUGCGUAGAUAUCGGGAGGAACACCAGUGGCGAAGGCGGCCUACUGGGCACCAACUGACGCUGAGGCUCGAAAGUGUGGGUAGCAAACAGGAUUAGAUACCCUGGUAGUCCACACCGUAAACGAUGAUUACUAGGUGUUGGAGGAUUGACCCCUUCAGUGCCGCAGUUAACACAAUAAGUAAUCCACCA